rnacentral:lncRNA from 1 species
UAAAGAGUUAAUGGCACCAGACGUCCCCAAACUUUGAAAUAUUUUAAUUACAUCCUAAAGCUAUCGAUGUUACAUUUAUCAGGUCAUUCUAUUUCUAAAACCGUUAUUUUAACCUUUAAAUGACACAAAAAAAUCUUAUAUAACAUAAUUUAAAAAUGAAAAUUUAAAAAAAAAGGAAAAUGUUGUCACAUAGCCUCAAACCAAAGAUUUUUACAACACCCAUUUUUAAAAUAUUCAUCUUUAAAUUAUGUCACAUAAAAUCCGACAUCUCAUUUAACAAUUUUAGUAACGGAAGGACCUUAUUGACAUAUUACCAAUAGUUUAAGGAUAAAAUUAGAAUAUUUUGAAUUUUAUAAAAUUAAAUGAAUAUGUCACAUGCACACAAUUUUUUGUUUUUUUUUUCCUUGAGUAAAACUUAAUUUAACUUAAAUAUUUUUAUUCUAAUAAAAUAGUAAUAAUAGAAUGGUUUAAUAACUUAUUUUUUUCUCUCUUUUUUGAGGCUUCUAAAUUGAACCGUUUCUUAUUUUGGGGAAGCUGCAACCUUAUCAGCUAAGGCAGAAGUUGUCCCAUCCACACUCCCGGAAUCAUCUCCCACAGAGCUUUUAAACCUUUCAGCCAGUUUAGCCACCCCCGACUGAAACUCAGGGUCUGUUACUAUUUUUUUCAAUUGUUCCCCUUGUACUCCGCCUUCAUGCAAUGCAGCAAUAAAGCCGGACAUAACUGAAGCCGUAAAUACCCUCAUGGAUUCUGGGGAUGCUGCAACCUCAUCAGCUAAGGCAGAAGUUGUCCCGUCCACACUCCCGGAAUAAUCUCCAACAGAGCUUUUAAACAUUUCAUCGAGUUUACCCAUCCUCGACUUAAAGGUAGGGUCUGCUAUUAUUUUGUUGAAUUGCUCCCCAAAGUCGGACAUAGCAAGUUCUGGGGAUGCCGCCUCAUCCUCCUUUUUUCCUACUGCAAAUUGGAUUGAGAGCAUCAAAGCCAAUGAGAAUACAACGAAAGAAACCUUCGCCAUGUUUUUUUUUUGUUUUUUUUUUUAAAAUUUUAAGAAAAAAAAGUAAGAUAUAUUUUUAUCGAUGGAACUGAGACCAAUUUUAAAGAGUUUAAAAUGAGAUUUUUUUUGCCAAAUUUAGGGGCGGUUGAAUGGUCUGGUGCUUAAUAGCCAUACACCAUUAACAGCCAAAGUAUGUAAUUUUUCUUUAUUUUGACUCUUUUCUCUUUCUUCCCCCUUUUAUUGUUUCCCGAAAUAGGGUUUAUUUUAAUCAAGUUUCAAUGUUCUUCAGAUGGGAAGAAAUGGGACUUCAAGAUUAGGGAUUAAAACUUAAAAGGAAGAAGAUAAAUAGGGUAAAUAGGUAAUGAGUAUUUUGUGUAUAUUUCCAUUCAAUACAACUUUAAUCAUGGGCGAAGCCAGAACAAUUAUUUAGGGGGCGAAUGAAAUUUUAAUUUUUUUAUAGUCUAUAUCUUUAUAAUUUUUAAGGGAUCAAAUUGAAUUUUUAUAAUUUCAGGAGGGGCCAAAGUGUAAUUUUAUAAUUUUGUAAUUUUUUUAAAGGCCUAAAUAAUAAUUUUUCAUUUUAGGGGGGCUAGGGCCCUGCCAGCCCCCUAGCUGCGCCUCUGACUUUAAUCACCAUUUAAAAAUCUAAUUUUGACAAUUCAUAAAUGAGUCUUACAUAUUUAAACAUCGAUAAUUAAUGUAUUGAGAAGCGAUGGAUGAAAAAGUACCGAUAGACGUUGGAAAAAAUUAAUAAUGCAUAAUAUGAAUUAUACUUAAUGUUAAUAUAACAUUUAUUUUUAAUUAUCCUAAAUUCAAGGUAAAAGAUAUGAUUUAAUGCUUUUCUUAAUUAGUGUAUCAAAUUCGGAAAUAAUUUUUCAAAAAAAUAUUGGCCAAAAAACUUUACAAAAGUUAGAUCUUACAAUUUUUAGAAAGAAAAUUUUAGCUUUGAAUAAAACCGUGGUUAAUGCCACUCUUUACAAUAUUGAAAAAAAAUUUAUUAAACCUAAGCUUAGAACAUUAAGCGAACAUCAGAUCUAAUGUGUAUUAUCGUCCGUCACCAGUGACAGUUUAAUUUCAUAUUCAAGCGUACCUCUCACAUAUUAUAGUGGACCUUCCAGAAUAAUCAAUCGUUCAAUUACAUCUUCAUCUGUCUGAGUUAUGCAGCCAGUAAUUUUAUUGACAUUCCGUUGAAUGUAUAUCAAUUUUUAAUAAUAAUAUAUAAAUGAAACAUAGUUAUAUGGUUCUAAUAAAAACAACCCGGAUCAAUAUAAGAAAAGGCUACAGACACACCAAAAGGGGCAAGGAUCGACUCUGCUUUUUGGAACAGGACGUCAUUCUCCGCUCCAAAUUGGCCUCCGUUGAUACAUAGUAUCAACAAACACAAUACGAUCUUUGUUUGUGGAGUUAAAAAUGAAUAAAACUAAAUUGCAUAUAUAAUUCUUAAAAGGAAAGAAAAAAGUAAAAGUAAAAUUGAGCACAUUACUUAGAAUCCGUAUGUUUCUAGCAGAGACGAGUCCUCCAUGAGGGAUGAAAUUGAAAAGUAAGAAUAAAGCCCACAGGAAGCAGCAAAGGAUGAGAGAAAAUGAAGCUUUCAUAAUUCCCAUCAUAAUAAUAUGUUUUCUUUUCUCAAGGAAACUAUUUUAUUAUACCAUCAUAUAAAUUUUUUCAUAUGAAUGAGGGUCUUCUUCUUCUUUCAUAACAAUGACAGUGAAGCUUGAAAUUUGGUUAAGUUGGGUGUUGUUGGGUGAAACUGGUGUGGUGAUCCAAACAUACCACAACUUAGGAUUAUUAUUCCCCCACCCUAUUCGUAUUAAAAUCGUAAGUAUUCUUUUUUUUGUCGAUUUCAAACUCUGAUUAGCCUGUACUCAUAUGACGUGACAUACAAUUGAGAGAAAAUACUUACGGGACUAAAAUUUUUAAACUGAAAAGAAAAAGGAUUAAAUUUUUUAUUCUUUGAUUACAAUAUUGUUAUUUGUUUUAAAUUUCUUAUCAAAUGUCGGAAUAAAAAAAAAUGGGACCAAAGGUGUGUUCAUUUUCGAGUUUGGCUCUCAUCUGUAUAUAUUUUUAUCCAAUAUAGCUUUAAUCAUCGUUUAAAACUAUGGCUUUGACAAUUCAUAGAUUAGUACUACACAUUUGAAAAUCGAUGAAUAAAAAAGUAUCGAACAAGAUCCCGAAUCCAUGCUUUACAAAGUCAAAGUCAAGCUGUUAGAGGGAAAAAUGAAUAUGAUUUUCUUGUGGUGAUACAAGUCCCUUUGAAUAAUAGUAAAAAUAAAAAGGCCUAAUAUAUUUUUGGCAUAAUGUUAAAGUGAAUCUUUAAUGUUCAUGUUUUACAUAUUUAAACAUUGAUAAUUAACGUAUUGAAAAGCGAUGAAUGAAAAAGUAUCGAUACGGUUGAAAAAAAAUUAAGGGUAAACUACACCCAUGGUCACUUUUGUUUACUUUAAGUUACGUUUUAGUCACUUGUGUUUGAAAUGUUACGUUUUAGUCAUUUACGUUAUCAUGUUGUAACAUUUUAGUCACUGAGCCAUUAAUAGCCGUUAAUGGUGUAACGGUAAGCUGACGUGGCACGUUAAAUCAUCAUUUCAAACAAAAUUUUAGGUUAAAUUAUACAACUGAUCCCCAUAUUUUUUUCGUUUUAAGUAAUUUAAUUUUUUUCUUUUAUGUUCUUUAAACUUUUCUCUUUUUUUCCAUUCUCUUUUGUUUCUCCCUCUGUUUUCAUACCUUUCCCAUUUCAUGUAACAUAUUAGGAAGUCGAAUUGGCAAUGAAAAAAUAAGUAGGAAGUCGACUGUCAUCAUUUGCCUAUAACCAAAACCCAUAAACCCAUACCAUGCUUCUUUUUUCACUACCAAUUUGACUUCCUGGUAUGUUAAAAGAAAUAAAAAAGGCAGAAAAACAGAGGGAGAAGUAGAAGAGAAUGGAAAAAAAAAGAAAGAAAGUUAAAAGAACAUAAAAGAAUUAAAUUGCUCAAAACGAAAAAUUAUGGGGACCAAUUGUAUAAUUUAACCUAAAGUUUUUGUUUGAAAUGAUGAUUUGACAUGCCACGUCAGUUUACCAUUACAUCAUUAACGACAAUUAACGGCUCAGUGACUAAAAUGUUACAAUACGAUAACAUAAGUGACUGAAAUGUAACAUUUCAAAUAUAAGUGACUGAAAUGUAACCUAAGGUAAACAAAAGUGACCAUGGGUGUAGUUUACCCAAAAAUUAAUAAUACAUUAAAAUUAAAGCUAGAAUUGAAUUAUCUAAUUCUAUAUAAAAUUUAAAUUAUAAGGGCUUGAUGUGGUUGCAAAUAAGAUUUCUUUUUGUUUAUAUCUUGUGGUAUUAUAACAUUUAUUUCUAAUUAUCCUAAAUUCAAGGUGAAAGAUAUGAUUUAAUGCUUUUCUUAAUUAGUGUAUCAAAUUCCGCAAUGAUUUUUCUGGCCAAAAAAAACUUUAUACAAUUUUUAGAAAGAAAAUUUUAGCUUUGGAUAAAAUCGUGAUUCACCCCUGCAUGCUAGAGCGCUUUUAUAUGACAAGGCCACUCAUUGUUUCAUAUGUUUGUUUUUAAUGUUUAUUUUGUAGGUGGAGAUAACAAACUUUAAAUUAAAGAGUUAAUGGCACCAGACGUCCCCAAACUUUGAAAUAUUUUAAUUACAUCCUAAAGCUAUCGAUGUUACAUUUAUCAGGUCAUUCUAUUUCUAAAACCGUUAUUUUAACCUUUAAAUGACACAAAAAAAUCUUAUAUAACAUAAUUUAAAAAUGAAAAUUUAAAAAAAAAGGAAAAUGUUGUCACAUAGCCUCAAACCAAAGAUUUUUACAACACCCAUUUUUAAAAUAUUCAUCUUUAAAUUAUGUCACAUAAAAUCCGACAUCUCAUUUAACAAUUUUAGUAACGGAAGGACCUUAUUGACAUAUUACCAAUAGUUUAAGGAUAAAAUUAGAAUAUUUUGAAUUUUAUAAAAUUAAAUGAAUAUGUCACAUGCACACAAUUUUUUGUUUUUUUUUUCCUUGAGUAAAACUUAAUUUAACUUAAAUAUUUUUAUUCUAAUAAAAUAGUAAUAAUAGAAUGGUUUAAUAACUUAUUUUUUUCUCUCUUUUUUGAGGCUUCUAAAUUGAACCGUUUCUUAUUUUGGGGAAGCUGCAACCUUAUCAGCUAAGGCAGAAGUUGUCCCAUCCACACUCCCGGAAUCAUCUCCCACAGAGCUUUUAAACCUUUCAGCCAGUUUAGCCACCCCCGACUGAAACUCAGGGUCUGUUACUAUUUUUUUCAAUUGUUCCCCUUGUACUCCGCCUUCAUGCAAUGCAGCAAUAAAGCCGGACAUAACUGAAGCCGUAAAUACCCUCAUGGAUUCUGGGGAUGCUGCAACCUCAUCAGCUAAGGCAGAAGUUGUCCCGUCCACACUCCCGGAAUAAUCUCCAACAGAGCUUUUAAACAUUUCAUCGAGUUUACCCAUCCUCGACUUAAAGGUAGGGUCUGCUAUUAUUUUGUUGAAUUGCUCCCCAAAGUCGGACAUAGCAAGUUCUGGGGAUGCCGCCUCAUCCUCCUUUUUUCCUACUGCAAAUUGGAUUGAGAGCAUCAAAGCCAAUGAGAAUACAACGAAAGAAACCUUCGCCAUGUUUUUUUUUUGUUUUUUUUUUUAAAAUUUUAAGAAAAAAAAGUAAGAUAUAUUUUUAUCGAUGGAACUGAGACCAAUUUUAAAGAGUUUAAAAUGAGAUUUUUUUUGCCAAAUUUAGGGGCGGUUGAAUGGUCUGGUGCUUAAUAGCCAUACACCAUUAACAGCCAAAGUAUGUAAUUUUUCUUUAUUUUGACUCUUUUCUCUUUCUUCCCCCUUUUAUUGUUUCCCGAAAUAGGGUUUAUUUUAAUCAAGUUUCAAUGUUCUUCAGAUGGGAAGAAAUGGGACUUCAAGAUUAGGGAUUAAAACUUAAAAGGAAGAAGAUAAAUAGGGUAAAUAGGUAAUGAGUAUUUUGUGUAUAUUUCCAUUCAAUACAACUUUAAUCAUGGGCGAAGCCAGAACAAUUAUUUAGGGGGCGAAUGAAAUUUUAAUUUUUUUAUAGUCUAUAUCUUUAUAAUUUUUAAGGGAUCAAAUUGAAUUUUUAUAAUUUCAGGAGGGGCCAAAGUGUAAUUUUAUAAUUUUGUAAUUUUUUUAAAGGCCUAAAUAAUAAUUUUUCAUUUUAGGGGGGCUAGGGCCCUGCCAGCCCCCUAGCUGCGCCUCUGACUUUAAUCACCAUUUAAAAAUCUAAUUUUGACAAUUCAUAAAUGAGUCUUACAUAUUUAAACAUCGAUAAUUAAUGUAUUGAGAAGCGAUGGAUGAAAAAGUACCGAUAGACGUUGGAAAAAAUUAAUAAUGCAUAAUAUGAAUUAUACUUAAUGUUAAUAUAACAUUUAUUUUUAAUUAUCCUAAAUUCAAGGUAAAAGAUAUGAUUUAAUGCUUUUCUUAAUUAGUGUAUCAAAUUCGGAAAUAAUUUUUCAAAAAAAUAUUGGCCAAAAAACUUUACAAAAGUUAGAUCUUACAAUUUUUAGAAAGAAAAUUUUAGCUUUGAAUAAAACCGUGGUUAAUGCCACUCUUUACAAUAUUGAAAAAAAAUUUAUUAAACCUAAGCUUAGAACAUUAAGCGAACAUCAGAUCUAAUGUGUAUUAUCGUCCGUCACCAGUGACAGUUUAAUUUCAUAUUCAAGCGUACCUCUCACAUAUUAUAGUGGACCUUCCAGAAUAAUCAAUCGUUCAAUUACAUCUUCAUCUGUCUGAGUUAUGCAGCCAGUAAUUUUAUUGACAUUCCGUUGAAUGUAUAUCAAUUUUUAAUAAUAAUAUAUAAAUGAAACAUAGUUAUAUGGUUCUAAUAAAAACAACCCGGAUCAAUAUAAGAAAAGGCUACAGACACACCAAAAGGGGCAAGGAUCGACUCUGCUUUUUGGAACAGGACGUCAUUCUCCGCUCCAAAUUGGCCUCCGUUGAUACAUAGUAUCAACAAACACAAUACGAUCUUUGUUUGUGGAGUUAAAAAUGAAUAAAACUAAAUUGCAUAUAUAAUUCUUAAAAGGAAAGAAAAAAGUAAAAGUAAAAUUGAGCACAUUACUUAGAAUCCGUAUGUUUCUAGCAGAGACGAGUCCUCCAUGAGGGAUGAAAUUGAAAAGUAAGAAUAAAGCCCACAGGAAGCAGCAAAGGAUGAGAGAAAAUGAAGCUUUCAUAAUUCCCAUCAUAAUAAUAUGUUUUCUUUUCUCAAGGAAACUAUUUUAUUAUACCAUCAUAUAAAUUUUUUCAUAUGAAUGAGGGUCUUCUUCUUCUUUCAUAACAAUGACAGUGAAGCUUGAAAUUUGGUUAAGUUGGGUGUUGUUGGGUGAAACUGGUGUGGUGAUCCAAACAUACCACAACUUAGGAUUAUUAUUCCCCCACCCUAUUCGUAUUAAAAUCGUAAGUAUUCUUUUUUUUGUCGAUUUCAAACUCUGAUUAGCCUGUACUCAUAUGACGUGACAUACAAUUGAGAGAAAAUACUUACGGGACUAAAAUUUUUAAACUGAAAAGAAAAAGGAUUAAAUUUUUUAUUCUUUGAUUACAAUAUUGUUAUUUGUUUUAAAUUUCUUAUCAAAUGUCGGAAUAAAAAAAAAUGGGACCAAAGGUGUGUUCAUUUUCGAGUUUGGCUCUCAUCUGUAUAUAUUUUUAUCCAAUAUAGCUUUAAUCAUCGUUUAAAACUAUGGCUUUGACAAUUCAUAGAUUAGUACUACACAUUUGAAAAUCGAUGAAUAAAAAAGUAUCGAACAAGAUCCCGAAUCCAUGCUUUACAAAGUCAAAGUCAAGCUGUUAGAGGGAAAAAUGAAUAUGAUUUUCUUGUGGUGAUACAAGUCCCUUUGAAUAAUAGUAAAAAUAAAAAGGCCUAAUAUAUUUUUGGCAUAAUGUUAAAGUGAAUCUUUAAUGUUCAUGUUUUACAUAUUUAAACAUUGAUAAUUAACGUAUUGAAAAGCGAUGAAUGAAAAAGUAUCGAUACGGUUGAAAAAAAAUUAAGGGUAAACUACACCCAUGGUCACUUUUGUUUACUUUAAGUUACGUUUUAGUCACUUGUGUUUGAAAUGUUACGUUUUAGUCAUUUACGUUAUCAUGUUGUAACAUUUUAGUCACUGAGCCAUUAAUAGCCGUUAAUGGUGUAACGGUAAGCUGACGUGGCACGUUAAAUCAUCAUUUCAAACAAAAUUUUAGGUUAAAUUAUACAACUGAUCCCCAUAUUUUUUUCGUUUUAAGUAAUUUAAUUUUUUUCUUUUAUGUUCUUUAAACUUUUCUCUUUUUUUCCAUUCUCUUUUGUUUCUCCCUCUGUUUUCAUACCUUUCCCAUUUCAUGUAACAUAUUAGGAAGUCGAAUUGGCAAUGAAAAAAUAAGUAGGAAGUCGACUGUCAUCAUUUGCCUAUAACCAAAACCCAUAAACCCAUACCAUGCUUCUUUUUUCACUACCAAUUUGACUUCCUGGUAUGUUAAAAGAAAUAAAAAAGGCAGAAAAACAGAGGGAGAAGUAGAAGAGAAUGGAAAAAAAAAGAAAGAAAGUUAAAAGAACAUAAAAGAAUUAAAUUGCUCAAAACGAAAAAUUAUGGGGACCAAUUGUAUAAUUUAACCUAAAGUUUUUGUUUGAAAUGAUGAUUUGACAUGCCACGUCAGUUUACCAUUACAUCAUUAACGACAAUUAACGGCUCAGUGACUAAAAUGUUACAAUACGAUAACAUAAGUGACUGAAAUGUAACAUUUCAAAUAUAAGUGACUGAAAUGUAACCUAAGGUAAACAAAAGUGACCAUGGGUGUAGUUUACCCAAAAAUUAAUAAUACAUUAAAAUUAAAGCUAGAAUUGAAUUAUCUAAUUCUAUAUAAAAUUUAAAUUAUAAGGGCUUGAUGUGGUUGCAAAUAAGAUUUCUUUUUGUUUAUAUCUUGUGGUAUUAUAACAUUUAUUUCUAAUUAUCCUAAAUUCAAGGUGAAAGAUAUGAUUUAAUGCUUUUCUUAAUUAGUGUAUCAAAUUCCGCAAUGAUUUUUCUGGCCAAAAAAAACUUUAUACAAUUUUUAGAAAGAAAAUUUUAGCUUUGGAUAAAAUCGUGAUUCACCCCUGCAUGCUAGAGCGCUUUUAUAUGACAAGGCCACUCAUUGUUUCAUAUGUUUGUUUUUAAUGUUUAUUUUGUAGGUGGAGAUAACAAACUUUAAAUUAAAGAGUUAAUGGCACCAGACGUCCCCAAACUUUGAAAUAUUUUAAUUACAUCCUAAAGCUAUCGAUGUUACAUUUAUCAGGUCAUUCUAUUUCUAAAACCGUUAUUUUAACCUUUAAAUGACACAAAAAAAUCUUAUAUAACAUAAUUUAAAAAUGAAAAUUUAAAAAAAAAGGAAAAUGUUGUCACAUAGCCUCAAACCAAAGAUUUUUACAACACCCAUUUUUAAAAUAUUCAUCUUUAAAUUAUGUCACAUAAAAUCCGACAUCUCAUUUAACAAUUUUAGUAACGGAAGGACCUUAUUGACAUAUUACCAAUAGUUUAAGGAUAAAAUUAGAAUAUUUUGAAUUUUAUAAAAUUAAAUGAAUAUGUCACAUGCACACAAUUUUUUGUUUUUUUUUUCCUUGAGUAAAACUUAAUUUAACUUAAAUAUUUUUAUUCUAAUAAAAUAGUAAUAAUAGAAUGGUUUAAUAACUUAUUUUUUUCUCUCUUUUUUGAGGCUUCUAAAUUGAACCGUUUCUUAUUUUGGGGAAGCUGCAACCUUAUCAGCUAAGGCAGAAGUUGUCCCAUCCACACUCCCGGAAUCAUCUCCCACAGAGCUUUUAAACCUUUCAGCCAGUUUAGCCACCCCCGACUGAAACUCAGGGUCUGUUACUAUUUUUUUCAAUUGUUCCCCUUGUACUCCGCCUUCAUGCAAUGCAGCAAUAAAGCCGGACAUAACUGAAGCCGUAAAUACCCUCAUGGAUUCUGGGGAUGCUGCAACCUCAUCAGCUAAGGCAGAAGUUGUCCCGUCCACACUCCCGGAAUAAUCUCCAACAGAGCUUUUAAACAUUUCAUCGAGUUUACCCAUCCUCGACUUAAAGGUAGGGUCUGCUAUUAUUUUGUUGAAUUGCUCCCCAAAGUCGGACAUAGCAAGUUCUGGGGAUGCCGCCUCAUCCUCCUUUUUUCCUACUGCAAAUUGGAUUGAGAGCAUCAAAGCCAAUGAGAAUACAACGAAAGAAACCUUCGCCAUGUUUUUUUUUUGUUUUUUUUUUAAAAAUUUUAAGAAAAAAAAGUAAGAUAUAUUUUU